CAAAAUCAAGCUAACAGAAUAUAUUCUGCUUCUGACAGUAAACCUUGUGCAACCCUGAGACCGAACUCUCCUGCACAAAAUCCUGGAACGGGUUAUAAACCUAAUGUAGUGAGGUAAGUAAGAUGCAUCCUUUUAGCCAUCAAAAGCAAUAACACCAACUGUUUCAUAGAGGGACGUAUUAGCUAAUCCCUAUUUCUUUACCAUUUUACAGCAAUGACUAUUGAGGCACACCGCACACCACAAUUAUUAGUUUCUUAAACAGAAAUUAAGGUCAGUGUUAGGUUGUAGCUUCAGCAAAAAAUAUUGACACGGCCACGCGAAACCCACACUAGAACACUAAUUUGUAAUAGAGAGAAUUCCUUAUUUAACACUGGCUUAAAAUAUUUUGCCUUAUUUGACACCGCAUAAAAAAUUCUUCCUUAUCUAGCACGAAUGCUAAAAUUUGUUCCCUUUGUAACACUUCCAUCCAUUUUGACCACUCACGGUGUUAAAUGACACAUGAAAAGACGAAUUUACCCCUUAUGCAACUUGUGAUCAAAAUGAGCAAUAAGUUUUUCUGUUGUUCAAUGCAAAAUUGGGCAGUACCUCCCCUGUAAACAUGCAAAAAUACCUAUCUUGAAUUUAAAUUAUUUCACAGUUUAAUUCAAAAUUUGGGCAGAACCUCCGCUGUAAUUUGAUGCAUAUUCUGGUUACACAAUUCACAUACACAUAUUUUUCAACAAACAUAUUCAGAUUUGCACAUAAACAUCCAGGCUCACAUCCAAGUAAACAUAUGCAUAAUCAUUACUACUAGUACAAACCUAUACAAACUACUAAGUGCCCGGAACUUACCCCACUAGGCACGCCCCAGCCGUUUCCUUGCCUGACCCUGCAGCUCCUUCCGGUGCCUCCCCAGCCAUGCCCUAGCCUGAGCCUGAACCCACGCUGGCGGUCGAGCCCCUGGCUAAUGAAACACCCUGGCCCGAGCUCGUUGCAGCCACGCCCUGGUCACCACCGCCAUCCAUAGCCGCCACCGCCGCCGCCGUUGGGACUGGACCGAGGUUCGCCGCCGCCGCUGCUGCCUAGGGUUGGGAGGAAGGGGAUGAGGAGGCUGGUCGGGAGAAAGGGGAC
rnacentral:lncRNA from 1 species